GAUGAACGCUGGCGGCGUGCCUAAUACAUGCAAGUAGAACGCUGAAGGAGGAGCUUGCUCUUCUGGAUGAGUUGCGAACGGGUGAGUAACGCGUAGGUAACCUGCCUGGUAGCGGGGGAUAACUAUUGGAAACGAUAGCUAAUACCGCAUGACAACAGUUAUUGCAUGAUAACUGUUUAAAAGUGGCACCUGCUCCACUACCAGAUGGACCUGCGUUGUAUUAGCUAGUUGGUGAGGUAACGGCUCACCAAGGCGACGAUACAUAGCCGACCUGAGAGGGUGAUCGGCCACACUGGGACUGAGACACGGCCCAGACUCCUACGGGAGGCAGCAGUAGGGAAUCUUCGGCAAUGGACGGAAGGCUGACCGAGCAACGCCGCGGGAGUGAAGAAGGUUUUCGGAUCGUAAAGCUCUGUUGUAAGAGAAGAACGAGUGUGAGAGUGGAAAGUUCACACUGUGACGGUAGCUUAACAGAAAGGGACGGCUAACUACGUG
rnacentral:rRNA from 1 species